CAAAAGUUAAGCUUUUCUUUUCGUUUCUUUUCUUCGAAAAUUACCAAUGUAUUUACAGGAGAAAACGUGUUGAAAGGGUCGUGCAGCUUACUGCUGUCAACCAUUUAUGUGUUCAAAAUCAUUGUAUUCUACUGAAGGUGCCAUCAAAAUGAAACAGGAUUCAUCAUAAUUGUCUGCUGUUUGUAUCGGACCAAUCCCAGCCAUGCCCCGAUUUUGAGUGUAGACUACUAACUGUUUAAUCAUUUCUAGAUCAUAGACGUCAAGCACAUUGAUAACACAAACUAUAAACAAGGUGACUUAUUGUUAUUUUAUUUACAGGUUCUUCAUUACAAGUUUCUAACACAUUGGCAUGACAGAUUUGAUGAGAAUAAGUCAUAUUUUGAAGGAAAAGGAUUACACAGUCAAAAAGGUUCCUUGUUUGCUAACCCGUUGGCUGCUACCCUUCAAUCUCCCUGUUUACUUCCUUACACAGGUACUAUUGAU